GCCUAAGGCCAUACCACCCUGAACAUGCCCAAUGUCAUCUGAUCUUGGAAGCUAAACAGGUUCGGGCCUGGUUAUAGUACUUGGAUGGGAGACACAUAUAUCCAAAUACCACAUUGUAGGGACGCCUGGGUGGGCA
rnacentral:rRNA from 1 species